UCUGCAACUCGACUACAUGAAGCUGGAAUCGCUAGUAAUCGCAGAUCAGAAUGCUGCGGUGAAUACGUUCCCGGGUCUUGUACACACCGCCCGUCACACCAUGGGAGUCGGAAAUGCCCGAAGCCGGUGACCCAACCAAAAGGAGGGAGCCGUCGAAGGCAGGUCUGAUAACUGGGGUGAAGUCGUAACAAGGUACC
rnacentral:rRNA from 1 species